UGUUGGCUGUGUUCCUGUCCAGCCCCCAGGGCCUCCCUCCUGGCCGCAGCUCCUGGAUCCAGCUUCACUUCUGGCCUGGAUGCUCUUCCUCAGAAGCAGCACGUCUGUCAAGGCGGUCCUCAGUUCCUCUGCCUCCCUUCCUGUGGACCAGAAAUGAUGCUGAGCCCGGCGGGGCUCCCCCUCAGUCCUCACCACCCAGCUACCGGAAUAAUUGCUGAACAGAUUGCACCGGAAGGAGAAUUCCUGGAUUAUGGAGUCAUGAUUCUAAAUGGCUGUUUAUCUGUGUUUUGCUUCAUUUCUUAAAAGAAAAAUGGCUAGAAUUUAAGUAUGUGAGUUGAAUGCCAGGGAGACGGCGGCUGCAUCCAUCACCCCACAGAGGACGGCAUGGAGCACCGUGGAGCAGAAGUGGGGAUCUCCACCAGCUGCCUGCUCUGCUCCCCUGCUUGCCAGUCACAGCUCCCCCCACUGCCUCCCCCGAGGGCCCAGAGAGCUCAAUGACUGGGCCGGGGCUGCACAGCUGAUAGGCAGCAGAGCCGGCACGGGGGCACCGUUGAUGUGAUCCUAAAGCCAAGCUUUCCUGCUUCCGGUGAUGAGUCGGAGCUCUGGUGCGACAGAGAACAUGGGCCCAGCGGGUGGGACCCACGCCUGGAGAUGCCACGCUUGGCCCGAACUCGGUGCAGAGGUGCAGGGGGAUCCCUUUUCUGCCCCCAAGGAGCACUCAGUCUUGGGAAGAUGAUGAAGGGCCCCUGCGCCAGGAAGCAUAAGAAUAAUGCCACCUCCUAAGGGCGCCUGGGUGGCUCAGUUGGUUAAGUGUCUGACUUUGGCUCA